UACGUAGGGGGCAAGCGUUGUCCGGAUUUAUUGGGCGUAAAGAGCGUGUAGGCGGCCAGGUAGGUCCGUUGUGAAAACUCGAGGCUCAACCUCGAGACGCCGAUGGAAACCAUCUGGCUAGAGUCCGGAAGAGGAGAGUGGAAUUCCCGGUGUAGCGGUGAAAUGCGCAGAUAUCGGGAAGAACACCCGUGGCUAAGGCGGCUCUCUAGUACGGUACUGACGCUGAGACGCGAAAGCGUGGGGAGCGAACGAGGA
rnacentral:rRNA from 1 species